rnacentral:rRNA from 1 species
AUACGGAGGGUACAAGCGUUAUCCGGAAUCAUUGGGUUUAAAGGGUCCGUAGGCGGACUAUUAAGUCAGAGGUGAAAUCCCACAGCUCAACUGUGGAACUGCCUUUGAUACUGGUAGUCUUGAGUUAUAUGGAAGUAGAUAGAAUGUGUAGUGUAGCGGUGAAAUGCAUAGAUAUUACACAGAAUACCGAUUGCGAAGGCAGUCUACUACGUAUAUACUGACGCUAAGGGACGAAAGCGUGGGGAGCGAACAGGAUUAGAAACCCUAGUAGUCC